CGGCAGCAUGGGCUUCGGCCUGAUGGCGAGUGGCGAACGGGUGAGUAAUGCAUCGGAACGUGCCCAGUCGUGGGGGACAACGUAGCGAAAGUUACGCUAAUACCGCAUACGACCUGAGGGUGAAAGUGGGGGACCGCAAGGCCUCACGCGAUUGGAGCGGCCGAUGUCUGAUUGGCUAGUUGGUGGGGUAAAAGCCUACCAAGGCGACGAUCAGUAGCGGGUCUGAGAGGAUGAUCCGCCACACUGGGACUGAGACACGGCCCAGACUCCUACGGGAGGCAGCAGUGGGGAAUUUUGGACAAUGGGCGCAAGCCUGAUCCAGCCAUGCCGCGUGCGGGAAGAAGGCCUUCGGGUUGUAAACCGCUUUCGGACGGAAAGAAAUCAUUCAGGUUAAUACCCUGGAUGGAUGACGGUACCGUAAGAAGAAGCACCGGCUAACUACGUGCCAGCAGCCGCGGUAAUACGUAGGGUGCGAGCGUUAAUCGGAAUUACUGGGCGUAAAGCGUGCGCAGGCGGUUUCUUAAGCCAGACGUGAAAUCCCCGAGCUUAACUUGGGAACUGCGUUUGGAACUGGGAGACUAGAGUGUGUCAGAGGGGGGUGGAAUUCCACGUGUAGCAGUGAAAUGCGUAGAGAUGUGGAGGAACACCGAUGGCGAAGGCAGCCCCCUGGGAUAACACUGACGCUCAUGCACGAAAGCGU
rnacentral:rRNA from 1 species